rnacentral:rRNA from 1 species
GAGUUUGAUCUUGGCUCAGAUUGAACGCUGGCGGCAUGCCUUACACAUGCAAGUCGAACGGCAGCACGGGAGCUUGCUCCUGGUGGCGAGUGGCGAACGGGUGAGUAAUGCAUCGGAACGUAUCCUGGAGUGGGGGAUAACGUAGCGAAAGUUACGCUAAUACCGCAUAUUCUGUGAGCAGGAAAGCGGGGGACCUUCGGGCCUCGCGCUCUUGGAGCGGCCGAUGUCGGAUUAGCUAGUUGGUGAGGUAAAGGCUCACCAAGGCGACGAUCCGUAGCAGGUCUGAGAGGAUGAUCUGCCACACUGGAACUGAGACACGGUCCAGACUCCUACGGGAGGCAGCAGUGGGAAUUUUGGACAAUGGGGGCAACCCUGAUCCAGCC